rnacentral:rRNA from 1 species
UACGUAGGGGGCAAGCGUUGUCCGGAUUUAUUGGGCGUAAAGAGCGUGUAGGCGGUCAGGUAGGUCCGUUGUGAAAACUCGAGGCUCAACCUCGAGACGCCGAUGGAAACCAUCUGACUAGAGUCCGGAAGAGGAGAGUGGAAUUCCUGGUGUAGCGGUGAAAUGCGUAGAUAUCAGGAAGAACACCCGUGGCUAAGGCGGCUCUCUAGUACGGUACUGACGCUGAGACGCGAAAGCGUGGGGAGCGAACAGG